UAAAUAUGAGAUGAAAUAAAAUAUUCAUUAGAAGCAAAAUAAGGUUUAUACAACUCCAAGAAUAGAAAUCAAAAAUAUAAAACCCUUGGCCCUUUGCUAGGACUACAUCCAGCCCUAGAGAGAAGAUCAGCCUUCCAUGGAGAGUUGAACGGCAGCAGCAGCACAGCAGCAGGCUCCCAUUUCUAUCACGAUCGGCUUCCUCUGCCUCAACACUUCAUUUUUUUCUUUCUUUUGAGAAGACAUUCCCAAAAAGACCCAAACUCUUCUCUCUCAACCUAUUUCCUCUUCUUCCGUGGGAACUUCACCUGUGAACCCGAGCUCUUCUUCUCCCGGUGGGAACUUGGCCUGUGAGGAGAUUUGGGAGAAGCCUCCCCCCCAGUGGGGGAAGAGGAGGAAUGGAAGAGAAUGCCUCUAGCCUUCAUCAUCGACUCCCUUUUAUAGCCUUCUCCAUCUUCUGUUAGCAUCCGGAGGAUAAACUUCCCGAGUGAAAGGAUGAGGAUGGAGGAACGGCUUCUGUUUCACGGCAGCGGGCGACGCGUAGAAGAUUUGAUUCGAGCGAAGAGGCAGAUGGUUGGGGAGCUUGAUCCGCGGACUGUUGCAGUUCUGAUCCGUUGAAGGGAUUUUGCUGGGAUGAAUCAAGGGGAGUUUGGAUUCGGCGGAGAUUGGUUCCAAAACAGGGGAAGAUUGUGACAGACAUAGACGAUGGAAUCAAUCCUAACGGCUGGAAUGCUGCGGACGUGGAGCAGAGAAUAUGAUGCGUGGAACCAUCCGUUGAUAGGCUGGGAGAUGAUCCGAAAGAAGGGGUCUUGAAUCACGGAUAGUUAUUUCCUUUGUUUCGGAACAGGGGAAAAGGAUGCAAGGGAUUUGUUCCGAAGAGGAGAUAAGGAUGGAAUGAUGGAUUUGAAUGGGAUUGGCUGCAGAUGUUUGGGAUUAAUCCGGGAGUUUGGAUGAAGCUCACGGCUGAAAACGGAUUCUGUUUUGAGGAUGCUGGGAUGAUUCGGAUGAAGAUAAAAUGAGCUGGGAACAGGGGAUAGCGGGGAUGCAUGAUUGAAUGGAUCCUGAGUUUGGUUGGCGAUGAAGACGGGAUGCUACACGUAACAGGGGAUUUGAGCUCAUCCGUGGAUGCUGGAACUGGGUGCUUGAAUGAUAUUCACGGUUGAGAGGGGAUAAGAAUGAAUCGUGGAGAGGACGCAUGAGGUGCUGGGAGCUGGAAUUCCGUUCGUGGGAUAUUCGGAAGGAUGCGGAUGAGAUCCUGGUUCUGUUUCCGUGGCUGGGGUUGUUUGGAUGAAGCCCACAGCUGAGAAGAGAUGAGGCUUUGGGAUGUGGCUGUAGGCUUUUGAGAAGAUCUCGGAUGGUUGUUCUUUGGAUGCGGAAGAAGUUGAUCGAUGCUUGGGACUCGGCUUGAUUUGAACGGGUGAAGAAAUCAGGGAAGAGAAGUUGGGAGGAUCAACAGAGAACAGAUAGUCGGGAUGAGUGUUAUUACAAACGGGAAACAGGGGAAUAUUGGUUGCUUGAUUCGAACGGGAGAAGAGAAGAUCACAACGGGAUGAAGCUUGGAGUUGGUUGGGAGAUAGGAUAAGGAUGGAACGAUGUGGAGGAAACCUGGGAGAAGGUGACGUGGAGAAUAAAAAAGAUUUUAGUUGGAGAUGAUAUCAUGAGACAUGAGGUCGGCUGAGAAGUCUUGGGAUGACCCUGUUCUUUGGACAUGGAACAGGGGAGAUUGGGAAUGCUUAGAAGACAUUAUGACGUGGUGGAAGAAUAGGGAGAUGAUGUGUAAGAUUUGAUGUGGAUGGCUUGUACAUGGAAUUUUAGGAAGACUUUGAAUAGCUAAUCGUAGAUGUGAUAAUGAUCAGAUAGUACAACGUAACGAAAGUUUGAACUCGAUUGGAUGCGAAAGAAACAGGGAAGUGGGGCUGGACCAAGGUGCAUGUCAUUCGGGUUCAGGGAUCAUCCGAAAAAGUUUGACUCGACCUGCAUAUAUUAGAUUCGACCUGCAUACAUUAGGCUCAAUUAAUAAAUAACUAAAUCAAACUCGAAUUAAUUUAUGCAAUGAUGAGGGUAACACAUUUUUUUAGUUNN
rnacentral:lncRNA from 1 species